AUACGUAGGGUGCGAGCGUUGUCCGGAAUUACUGGGCGUAAAGAGCUCGUAGGUGGUUUGUCGCGUCGUCUGUGAAAUUCCGGGGCUUAACUCCGGGCGUGCAGGCGAUACGGGCAUAACUUGAGCACUGUAGGGGAGACUGGAAUUCCUGGUGUAGCGGUGAAAUGCGCAGAUAUCAGGAGGAACACCGGUGGCGAAGGCGGGUCUCUGGGCAGUAACUGACGCUGAGGAGCGAAAGCAUGGGUAGCGAACAGGAUUAGAUACCCUGGUAGUCCAUGCCGUAAACGGUGGGCGCUAGGUGUAGGGGUCUUCCACGACUUCUGUGCCGUAGCUAACGCAUUAAGCGCCCCGCCUGGGGAGUACGGCCGCAAGGCUAAAACUCAAAUGAAUUGACGGGG
rnacentral:rRNA from 1 species